rnacentral:rRNA from 1 species
GACGAACGCUGGCGGCGUGCUUAACACAUGCAAGUCGAACGGAAAGGCCCUGCUUUUGUGGGGUGCUCGAGUGGCGAACGGGUGAGUAACACGUGAGUAACCUGCCCUUGACUUUGGGAUAACUUCAGGAAACUGGGGCUAAUACCGGAUAGGAGCUCCUGCUGCAUGGUGGGGGUUGGAAAGUUUCGGCGGUUGGGGAUGGACUCGCGGCUUAUCAGCUUGUUGGUGGGGUAGUGGCUUACCAGGGCUUUGACGGGUAGCCGGCCUGAGAGGGUGACCGGCCACAUUGGGACUGAGAUACGGCCCAGACUCCUACGGGAGGCAGAAGUGGGGAAUAUUGCACAAUGGGCGGAAGCCUGAUGCAGCAACGCCGCGUGCGGGAUGACGGCCUUCGGGUUGUAAACCGCUUUCGCCUGUGACGAAGCGUGAGUGACGGUAAUGGGUAAAGAAGCACCGGCUAACUACGUG